GGUGACGAGCGGCGGACGGGUGAGUAAUGUCUGGGAAACUGCCUGAUGAGGGGAUAACUACUGGAAACGGUAGCUAAUACCGCAUAACGUCGCAAGACCAAAGAGGGGACCUUCGGGCCUCUUGCCAUCAGAUGUGCCCCAGAUGGGAUUAGCUAGUAGGUGGGGUAAUGGCUCACCUAGGCGACGAUCCCUAGCUGGUCUGAGAGGAUGACCAGCCACACUGGAACUGAGACACGGUCCAG
rnacentral:rRNA from 1 species